rnacentral:rRNA from 1 species
UAAUUUAAAGUCUAACCUGCCCAAUGAUAAUAUUUAAUGGCCGCGGUAUUUUGACCGUGCUAAGGUAGCAUAAUCAAUAGUUUUUUAAUUGAAAGCUGGAAUGAAGGGUUGAAUAAAAAAAUAACUGUCUUUAUUUAAUUUAAUUAGAAUUUUAUUUUUAAGUUAAAAAGCUUAAAUUUUAUUAGAAGACGAGAAGACCCUAUAGAGUUUUAUAAGUAACUGGAUUAUUAUAUUUAGAAUUAAUUUUAUUAGUUUAAUUAUUUAUUUAAUUGGGGUGAUUAAAAAAUUAAUUUAACUUUUUUUGUACAUUUACAUAUAUAAAUGAAUAUUUGAUCCAUUUAUAGUGAUUAUAAGAUAAAAUUACCUUAGGGAUAACAGCGUUAUUUUUUUUUAGAGUUCAAAUCGAAAAAAAAGAUUGCGACCUCGAUGUUGGAUUAAAAUUAAUUUUUGGUGUAGAAGCUAAAAUAUUAGGUCUGUUCGACCUUUAAAAUUUUACAU